CUACGCUUGACAUGCCUGGACGACUCCGAGAGAUCUGUUUCUCCCUUCGGGGCCAGUGCACAGGUGCUGCAUGGCUGUCGUCAGCUCGUGUCGUGAGAUGUUGGGUUAAGUCCCGCAACGAGCGCAACCCUCAUCCUUAGUUGCCAUCACGUUUGGGUGGGCACUCUAGGGAAACUGCCGGUGCUAAGCCGGAGGAAGGCGGGGAUGACGUCAAGUCCUCAUGGCCCUUACGCGUAGGGCUACACACGUGCUACAAUGGCAGUGACAAUGGGAUAAUCCCCAAAAGCUGUCUCAGUUCGGAUUGUCGGCUGCAACUCGCCGGCAUGAAGUUGGAAUCGCUAGUAAUCGUGGAUCAGCAUGCCACGGUGAAUACGUUCCCGGGUCUUGUA
rnacentral:rRNA from 1 species